rnacentral:tRNA from 1 species
UGCCUUAGUAGCUUAGACACAAAGCGCCGGUCUUGUAAUCCGGAGAUCGAAGGUUAAAAUCCUUCCUAAUG